AGGAUGAGACUAUAUAGUAUCAGCUAGUUGGUAAGGUAAUGGCUUACCAAGGCUAUGACGCUUAACUGGUCUGAGAGGAUGAUCAGUCACACUGGAACUGAGACACGGUCCAGACUCCUACGGGAGGCAGCAGUAGGGAAUAUUGCGCAAUGGGGGAAACCCUGACGCAGCAACGCCGCGUGGAGGAUGACACUUUUCGGAGCGUAAACUCCUUUUCUUAGGGAAGAAUUCUGACGGUACCUAAGGAAUAAGCACCGGCUAACUCCGUGCCAGCAGCCGCGGUAAUACGGAGGGUGCAAGCGUUACUCGGAAUCACUGGGCGUAAAGGGCGCGUAGGCGGAUUAUCAAGUCUCUUGUGAAAUCUAAUGGCUUAACCAUUAAACUGCUUGGGAAACUGAUAGUCUAGAGUGAGGGAGAGGCAGAUGGAAUUGGUGGUGUAGGGGUAAAAUCCGUAGAUAUCACCAAGAAUACCCAUUGCGAAGGCGAUCUGCUGGAACUCAACUGACGCUAAGGCGCGAAAGCGUGGGGAGCAAACAGGAUUAGAUACCCUGGUAGUCCACGCCCUAAACGAUGUACACUAGUUGUUGGGGUGCUAGUCAUCUCAGUAAUGCAGCUAACGCAUUAAGUGUACCGCCUGGGGAGUACGGUCGCAAGAUUAAAACUCAAAGGAAUAGACGGGGACCCGCACAAGCGGUGGAGCAUGUGGUUUAAUUCGAAGAUACGCGAAGAACCUUACCUGGGCUUGAUAUCCUAAGAACCUUAUAGAGAUAUGAGGGUGCUAGCUUGCUAGAACUUAGAGACAGGUGCUGCACGGCUGUCGUCAGCUCGUGUCGUGAGAUGUUGGGUUAAGUCCCGCAACGAGCGCAACCCACGUAUUUAGUUGCUAACGGUUCGGCCGAGCACUCUAAAUAGACUGCCUUCGUAAGGAGGAGGAAGGUGUGGACGACGUCAAGUCAUCAUGGCCCUUAUGCCCAGGGCGACACACGUGCUACAAUGGCAUAUACAAUGAGACGCAAUACCGCGAGGUGGAGCAAAUCUAUAAAAUAUGUCCCAGUUCGGAUUGUUCUCUGCAACUCGAGAGCAUGAAGCCGGAAUCGCUAGUAAUCGUAGAUCAGCCAUGCUACGGUGAAUACGUUCCCGGGUCUUGUACUCACCGCCCGUCACACCAUGGGAGUUGAUUUCACUCGAAGCCGGAAUACUAAACUAGUUACCGUCCACAGUGGAAUCAGCGACUGGGGUGAAGUCGUAACAAGGUAACCGUAGGAGAACCUGCGGUUGGAUCACCUCCUUUCUA
rnacentral:rRNA from 1 species